AAAUUGAAGAGUUUGAUCAUGGCUCAGAUUGAACGCUGGCGGCAGGCCUAACACAUGCAAGUCGAACGGUAACAGGAAACAGCUUGCUGUUUCGCUGACGAGUGGCGGACGGGUGAGUAAUGUCUGGGAAACUGCCUGAUGGAGGGGGAUAACUACUGGAAACGGUAGCUAAUACCGCAUAACGUCGCAAGACCAAAGAGGGGGACCUUCGGGCCUCUUGCCAUCGGAUGUGCCCAGAUGGGAUUAGCUAGUAGGUGGGGUAACGGCUCACCUAGGCGACGAUCCCUAGCUGGUCUGAGAGGAUGACCAGCCACACUGGAACUGAGACACGGUCCAGACUCCUACGGGAGGCAGCAGUGGGGAAUAUUGCACAAUGGGCGCAAGCCUGAUGCAGCCAUGCCGCGUGUAUGAAGAAGGCCUUCGGGUUGUAAAGUACUUUCAGCGGGGAGGAAGGGAGUAAAGUUAAUACCUUUGCUCAUUGACGUUACCCGCAGAAGAAGCACCGGCUAACUCCGUGCCAGCAGCCGCGGUAAUACGGAGGGUGCAAGCGUUAAUCGGAAUUACUGGGCGUAAAGCGCACGCAGG
rnacentral:rRNA from 1 species